GCGCAAGAGCGUAACGGGUGCUGCGAAAAGUACGGUCGGGCACGCGCGACGUCACCCUCCGCGCAAAGGGAAAAAAAAGUUCCCCGUGUUCCCGAUUUGUGGAGUGCUUAGCUAAUGCAGAGACCCGCCGUUUGGUAAAAAUUAAAUACAGAGGCCUCGUGAAAGGGGUUAUUAGUCCCUGUCGCGUCUUAAAGGAGAGCCAAUUUCCCCAGGAAUGAGCCGCUUUUAAAGCAACUCCGCGCCUUGAAAGGAGCUGGUGAAACCUACCCUAAAGCUUUGUCCCGCCAUGCUCUGCGGCAUUAACGGCCUUUGGCGGGAAAGAUCCCCCCAGGGGCGGAGUCAAAGGGGGAGGGACCGCGCGGUUGCUUCGGAAACGGGGGCAUCCUCGUAGAGUGCCCCUAGUCCGGGAGCUCUGUUGCCUGUGAUGCAAUCGAGAGCCAAGGCGUGACUUUUGUCCUUCCCUCUGCUGCGAAAGGCCGUGAACUGCUUAGACAAGUGUCUAAUUUAGGGGAACCCCGCUUAGAUUCCUUAGUAAAUGUUCUACACUCGCACUGCUCCACCUUCGGUUCAGAACUUAACUCUGUAUAGCUCAAUUCAACACUCCUUGCGCUAGUGGCAGUCUUUCGUGCCCUGAUCAGUCACUGAUGGUACCUGCCAACUAAGAACCAGGCCUCUGCUUCUCUCUUGAAUCGCCUAUCACUAGACCUAGCUCAGUGAAAGUUUGCAGAAUGAAUUGUGUCUGUUAUUUCUCCAACCACUUGCAGAGAACGGGAGGAGAUACGGCCUAUGCUGAAAAAAAGUUGAGAAAUUCCCUCCACGUACCACGUGGAGAAACAGAAGUGUCCCUGGCCACACAGGACGCAGCUUCUAGUGCUACUCAAAUAUAUAACUGGAGGGAACGUGAUGGAGCCCUUCUGCCUUUCUGCGUUUCUGAAGGAUGCCUCCCUUGUGGAAAGGCUGACAGUAUGAUAAAAGCCUCCUGAUUAAUACAAUGCUUUUCUCUGUUGCUCGGGGCUUAUCUAUGUGUUUUUUUAACAACCAACUAGUUGGGAAAACAUCUCAGGCUCCCUCUUGCUAAUCUGUUUGGUGUACUGAGCAGCAGCUCAUUUUGGAAAAAUAUAGGCUUUGGACUAAGCAGA